ensembl:lncRNA
GCUAGAGACUGAAUUUCCCAUGCUGGAGUGGAGUAGAAGACCCAGUCGUUGGAAGGCUUCGAGGAUGGCGGGUCUCAUAUGCUAAUUAGCAAAUAUAUAAUCGACAUCAGCUGGCUGUUUGCCACUCCCUGAUGACUGGGAAUUAUUCACAAGUACAUCAACCCACCAGUUGCACUUGAACUUCAUUGCCACGAGGAGUCGACUUGAAAUAAUACGUGACUGCCUGUAUGUGGCUCCUGUACCAACACUACCUACAUCAGAAUCACCUCGGGGGACGGGAGCUGAAAAAUACAUAUUUUCCCCAGUCGCAUUCCAGACACACGGAAUAUGUGUUAAAUGUUUUACAAAAUUCUCCAAGGUGAAGCUGGAUAAUUUUUACGCCAAUUUCUGGGACUGGACGGGAACACGUGUCGGACGGCCCUAUGCAACUCAAAUUCCAGUCAUUGUGCCAAGCGAGGAGACCCUCGGGACCUCAGUUUCUCUUUCUGACAGAGGCAGGUUCUGUCCCCCACUUGUUGCUAGACUUCAGGAAGCGGAAAUUAAUAAAUGCAAAGUGCUGGGAAGAGCGAAGCUGCCGGACUACGGAGAGAAGAGAAGGUCUCAUCCCUUCCAACCCAGGCUCUCCCAGGUAACCCGGCCGCCGCCCGUCUCCCC